rnacentral:lncRNA from 1 species
GGGGGACAGAUAAGGCAGGGCCCCACGCAGGGCUUAUCCAGCCCUGCCAUCCCUGCUGGGGAGCUACCAGCAGAUGGAGCCCCGCCCGCGGUCUGGGGUCACUCCUUGUGAUGCUGCCAGAGCUCUUUAUGAUGCCAUAAUUUGUAGUGACAUCAUUGCUGUGUCCCUCCUUUGAGUCUGAGAGGGUUACUCAGAUAAGAGUUGGGGAAGUGGAGUCAGACAGGAGCCCUACUGAGGCUCCAAGUCAGUGGGCCGGGUUGGGCUGGACUGGAGGAGAGAGUGGUGCCAGAGGAUCCUCCCCAGGGCAGAUGGCUAUUUUUGGUGUCGACUGCUCGGCUUAUAGCCACCCCUCUUCCUGUCUUCCCAAUCCAAAGAGGCUCUGGGUCCAGCAGGGGCAGGAGCAGUAGGAGAAAUCUUUAGCCCUGCAGCAGGGCAGCUCUGGGGUCAGUCUCUAGCUCAGGAACCAGCCUGUUCCUCCCUACAGUGAGGCCUGACCCUCAGUACCUCGGGUCUGAGGGGAAGGGGGGCCUUACUUCCAAUCCUUGAAAUAGCAGUGAGGCAAAGAGAGAUUAUUAGGAUGGCCAGACAGACGGACACAGCCAGACCCACCAUAAUAGUCACACACAUUAACUUGCUGAUGUGGGCUGCAGGCACAGCCUCACGCCAACACCAUCACACUCACAGCCAUUCAUUCUCAUAGCCAUGCCCACAGCUACACGUGGGCCACAGAUGGCUGAACCACACGGACAUACCAGCACAGGCACAAUGUCACCUGUCCCAUCUGGGAGAACAGGAACCCCUUCUCUCUCACGGUUGUACUCCCAGAGAGGAGCUCAAUUCCCAGCACAUGGCAGAUGCGCACUAAUAUUUGGUGAGUGAAUAAAUGGACAUUCAGUGCCACAGGGCCUGUGACCAGGCUGGGCUGAGGCCAGAGGGAACGCCAUCCCACCUGCAAGCCUGCUCGACCUCUCCAGACCCAGGAUGGGAGCAUCGAGGAAGAACUACAACUGCCAGCACCACCCCAGCCCCAACUUCAGUCAUGGCCACUCCUCAGAUAAUAGGUCACUGAAGGGACCUCGGUUAUGUAGGGACCCUGGUUAUGCAGGGACCCCACUCCCUCCCUCCAGGUGCAGUGAAUUGGAACACUGGCACUCUGAAAAUGGAAUGUUAUGAACAUUGGGUGCUCUGGAUGUUGGGUACCCCAGGCCCCCUGGAAUUUGGCACUGGGGGCUCUGGGUUUUGGGUCCUCUACAGUGUUGGGUGCUCUGGCACCCUUGACAUUGGGAAUUCAGGACUUUGGGAGCUCAAAGCGAUUGAGGAGUCUGGGUGUUGAAAGCUCUGGAGAUUGGGGCUGCCCCUUGGACAACGCCAAAGUCAAUACUUCCUGUCUAUAUGCCUGAUUUUACCUGGAGCCACUGAGGUCCAGCCCGGAACCCCUGUUCUGAACCCCAUGAUUGGCUUAUGCUGCCCCAAGGCUGGGGUGGCAGGGCUGGGGUGGCGGGGUUUCAGGGGUAGAGAAACCACAACAGGAUGGCCUAAGGGGUACCUGGAGCCCCAGAGACAGCUCUCAGGUCUGAAACCAAUCUAACCUGCUCCUCUGCAUUGGGACAGGGCAGUGGAGGUGCCAGGCACUGACCACUGGGCUCCAGGUUCAAGAAAGGAAGAAUCUGAGAGCAGAGCCCAGGCAGGCACCUCCCAGUAAUGCUUCCUGGCUACUGAGGCUGGGGUUCUAAGGAGGUGGAGACCCCUGGCCAGGCCUGGCUUCAACUACAGGCAAUGUCCACCCUCCCCCACCUUCUCAGCAGGCCCCCAGCACCACUCCAUCAAGGUGCCCAGUGCUGCCAGCUCCUGCAGUGACCACCAGAAGUGGCCCAAGUCUGGCAUUAUUCAUAUUCCUACUAGACACACACCUAAGCUGACUAUGUGCAUCUCGAAACAGAGGCCUUGAUCCUGCAGGCUGAUGACACCACUCGAGGAAACCAGCCAGCCCUGGGGGCUCUGACGCUGGAUGCAGCCCUCCCAGGAAAUAGCUCCACUGGCUGCAGUAACUGGAGGCUCCUGAGCCACAUUUCAGCCUGCAGUGGGUGGUGGGUGGGCCCCAGCCCAACUGCUGCCCUGCCCCAGGAAGAAGCAGGCCCGUCAAAAUGUCUGACCCCGUCCGUCCCCCAUCCCCUCCCCUGCCCCAGUCUGUCCUCAGUCCUGAUCCCCCUGCCCGCCCCACAGUGGCCCAGGCUGGCCAUGCCCUUCCCACCCUGCAGGCCAGCUGCUCAGAGCCAGGGGCUCACAGCCAGGGACGGAGGCUAUCCCAGCUCCCACCCGGGCUGGGCCCAAACCUGCCUCCUUUGGGCCUCAUUCUGAUUGGAAAAAAACAGCCUCUCUAGUCCCUGUCUCAGGAAGAUGACUUUUCAAACCAGAAUCUUUCUCACAAGUGUCUCCUCAGGACACAGCUGUGUGGUUUCCUGAAGCUCUUUCUGGUUCAAGAUCUGAUCAGGAGUCCAAUGUGAAUAGGAGACAACAGAGAGCUGUCUUUGUACUUUGGCUCUGAGGAAGGUUUGUGGAAUGGACCGCGUGUGGCCUGAGAGAGCUCGCAUUUCAGGGAAUGCCUGGGCUUGAUGCCUGUUAUCUUGUUCAGUGCCUCUGAUAAAUUAAUAAACUGGAAUCUCACUCAACAAUUGGUUUCACGUGAGUUUGGCAUGUGUGCACUCGCUUCUUGGAGGCUGACUGUCCCAAGGAAAAAAAUUAAACUGUUUCCUGGCCAGAAAAUGGUGAGGACUCAGGGUCCAAAGUAGAAAU